rnacentral:rRNA from 1 species
AUAAAGUUGUUCUCAGUUCGGAUUGUAGUCUGCAACUCGACUACAUGAAGCUGGAAUCGCUAGUAAUCGUAGAUCAGCAUGCUACGGUGAAUACGUUCCCGGGUCUUGUACACACCGCCCGUCACACCACGAGAGUUUGUAACACCCGAAGCCGGUGGAGUAACCUUUUAGGAGCUAGCCGUCGAAGGUGGGACAAAUGAUUGGGGUGAAGUCGUAACAAGGUAGCCGUAUCGGAAGGUGCGGCUGGAUCACCUCCUUUCUAAGGA